AGGCGCGUAGCUCAGCUGGUUAGAGCACUACAUUGACAUUGUAGGGGUCGUUGGUUCGAGUCCAAUCGUGCCUA
rnacentral:tRNA from 1 species